AGAUGUGAGGGCGAUCUGGCUGCGACAUCUGUCACCCCAUUGAUCGCCAGGGUUGAUUCGGCUGAUCUGGCUGGCUAGGCGGGUGUCCCCUUCCUCCCUCACCGCUCCAUGUGCGUCCCUCCCAAAGCUGCGCGCUCGGUCGAAGAGGACGACCAUCCCCGCUAGAGGAGGACCGGUCUUCGGUCAAGGGUAUACGAGUAGCUGCGCUCCCCUGCUAGAACCUCCAAACAAGCUUCUGUGUAUUUCAUCUAAACCUGCUUCCUGAAUCCCUUUGUGGUCCCUUCCAUUGACAGUUGUCUCCAAUG
rnacentral:snRNA from 1 species